rnacentral:rRNA from 1 species
AACGAACGCUGGCGGCGUGCCUAACACAUGCAAGUCGAACGAGAAAGGGGCUUCGGCUCCGAGUAAAGUGGCGCACGGGUGAGUAACACGUGGGUAACCUGCCUCUAAGAUUGGGAUAACUCGUCGAAAGAUGAGCUAAUACCGAAUAAGACCACAGUUCCCGCGGGAACAGGGGUCAAAGGUAGCCUCUGCUUGCAAGCUAUCACUUAGAGAUGGGCCUGCGCACCAUUAGCUAGUUGGUAGAGUAACGGCCUACCAAGGCAAAGAUGGUUAGCUGGUCUGAGAGGAUGAUCCGCCACACUGGAACUGAGACACGGUCCAGACUCCUACGGGAGGCAGCAGUGGGGAAUAUUGCGCAAUGGGCGAAAGCUUGACGCAGCAACGCCGCGUGAGUGAUGAAGGCCUUCGGGUCGUAAAGCUCUGUCGGGAGGAACGAAUGCUCCUGAGGUUAACAGCCUCGGGAGGUGACGGUACCUUCAAAGGAAGCACCGGCUAACUCUGUG